AGAUUUUGCAUCUCUUCACCUUUCUUUUCUUUUUUCGUCAUCCUAAAUGAAAUUAAUUAACACUUUGGCGCAUUUUAUGAUAUAUCAACGCUGGUUUAUACGACCAACACUUGCGGUGACACUGGCUCAAUAUGUUUAUCUGCUGAGUUUAUAUAGACACGUUUGAUGUAUCACUACAGGGUUCCCAAUUAUCAUAUGGUGACUGCACCCAUUCAUAUGGUGACUGCACCCAUAUGUAUAAAUGUUCAUUCCUGGUCCAGUCUUAAUGCCGCAACUGUGUAAAGGUUGUGCUGUCUAGACUUGUAUGCCUGCGCUAUGACUACAAAGCCCACACUUGGCUUUUAGGGAAUGGAUCUA